CCAAGCUUGUUGUUGAUUGAAAAGUUAUUGGUGGCAUUAGAAAUUGUAGCUAAUUCAAAUAGUGGUAGCUCCAGGUCAAUGUUUUGAUCUUCGUUUUCCUGAUCAGUUUCUGUUUUCACAGAAAUAAUAAUGGACAGUACUAACCGAAAGAAACAUAUGCAGUCCAGAUACAGGACUUAAUUAAAAUGGAAACUUCCAUUUUCUUGUUCUUGAUGCGAAGGUUCUUCUUUUCCACAAAAUUUAUUAAAGUUCAUUCAUUUAACAGUCCCCGUCUAAUUGAUAUGCUCUUUCAAUACUAUCUACUUGGUAAAGAAUUUGAUUGAAGAACUCAUAAUGAAGAAAGCAAAGAAAACUAUCGGAACCAUUGGUUGAAUGAAAACUGCUGCGUAAAAGUUCAAACAAAUGGCAAUAAAUAUGUGAAGGCAAAGGGAGUUAUUUUACCUGCUAUGUUUCUCCUUCGUUUGUGGAUCAAAUAGCCAGAUAUAAGCACCACGGCCAACAGAGCAACGGCAGAAAUGACUAGCACCACUAUCUUUGUCGUAGGCUCGCCUUUCAUUCCUUGAUUGGCAUAUUCAGAUAUAGUAAAGUACGUCAAUAAUCAUAAAGGUAAAGAAAAAAAA
rnacentral:lncRNA from 1 species